GACGAACGCUGGCGGCGCGCCUAACACAUGCAAGUCGAACGAGCGAGAGAGAGCUUGCUUUCUCGAGCGAGUGGCGAACGGGUGAGUAACGCGUGAGGAACCUGCCUCAAAGAGGGGGACAACAGUUGGAAACGACUGCUAAUACCGCAUAAGCCCACAGCUCGGCAUCGAGCAGAGGGAAAAGGAGCAAUCCGCUUUGAGAUGGCCUCGCGUCCGAUUAGCUAGUUGGUGAGGUAAUGGCCCACCAAGGCGACGAUCGGUAGCCGGACUGAGAGGUUGAACGGCCACAUUGGGACUGAGACACGGCCCAGACUCCUACGGGAGGCAGCAGUGGGGAAUAUUGCACAAUGGGGGAAACCCUGAUGCAGCGACGCCGCGUGGAGGAAGAAGGUCUUCGGAUUGUAAACUCCUGUUGUUGAGGAAGAUAAUGACGGUACU
rnacentral:rRNA from 1 species